rnacentral:rRNA from 1 species
CCAGACUCCUACGGGAGGCAGCAGUGGGGAAUAUUGGACAAUGGACCGAGAGUCUGAUCCAGCAAUUCUGUGUGCACGAUGAAGUUUUUCGGAAUGUAAAGUGCUUUCAGUUGGGAAGAAAGAAAUGACGGUACCAACAGAAGAAGUGACGGCUAAAUACGUGCCAGCAGCCGCGGUAAUACGUAUGUCACGAGCGUUAUCCGGAUUUAUUGGGCGUAAAGCGCGUCUAGGUGGUUAUAUAAGUCUGAUGUGAAAAUGCAGGGCUCAACUCUGUAUUGCGUUGGAAACUGUAUAACUAGAGUACUGGAGAGGUAAGCGGAACUACAAGUGUAGAGGUGAAAUUCGUAGAUAUUUGUAGGAAUGCCGAUGGGGAAGCCAGCUUACUGGACAGAUACUGACGCUGAAGCGCGAAAGCGUGGGUAGCAAACAGGAUUAGAUACCCUGGUAGUCCACGCCGUAAACGAUGAUUACUAGGUGUUGGGGGUCGAACCUCAGCGCCCAAGCAAACGCGAUAAGUAAUCCGCCUGGGGAGUACGUACGCAAGUAUGAAACUCAAAGGAAUUGACGGGGGCCCGCACAAGA